rnacentral:rRNA from 1 species
UCGGUAGCUGGUCUGAGAGGACGACCAGCCACACUGGGACUGAGACACGGCCCAGACUCCUACGGGAGGCAGCAGUGGGGAAUUUUGGACAAUGGGGGCAACCCUGAUCCAGCCAUGCCGCGUGCAGGAUGAAGGUCUUCGGAUUGUAAACUGCUUUUGUCAGGGAAGAAAAGGUCUGUGUUAAUACCAUAGACUGCUGACGGUACCUGAAGAAUAAGCACCGGCUAAGUACGUGCCAGCAGCCGCGGUAAUACGUAGGGUGCAAGCGUUAAUCGGAAUUACUGGGCGUAAAGCGUGCGCAGGCGGUUCUGUAAGACAGAUGUGAAAUCCCCGGGCUCAACCUGGGAAUGGCAUUUGUGACUGCAGGACUAGAGUUCAUCAGAGGGGGGUGGAAUUCCAAGUGUAGCAGUGAAAUGCGUAGAUAUUUGGAAGAACACCAAUGGCGAAGGCAGCCUCCUGGGAUGCGACUGACGCUCAUGCACGA